UGCCCCCCCCCCCCCCCCCAGCAUGUCCUUGUACUUUCUGGGAUCAUUUGGUCUGAAUUGUGCUGAUGGAACUCAAUUGCUAUCAGAUGGCCCUUUGCAGAGUUGCUUUGGGAAUGAGGAAGAUGUAGACUGAACCUGCUCGGGUGGCUGUUGCACACUGACCUGUUCUCUUGCUACUAGCCAGUCAGGGAUGGUUGGUGCAUCCACUUGGUGGCUGGUGAGCCCUUCUCGAGACUCAUUCUUGCCUGUGGGAAAGCUUCAUGUGUGAAAAGUGUCAGGCCUGGCUUUCUGUGGGACCGUUACACCCCUGAGCUGAAAGGUGACUGUUUCUUUUUCUGCACUGGUACUGAUAUGAGGGGGCAGGUAGCAAUAGAUCAGGGCUGUGUUGGACCCCAGUCUAAUGCUGGCCCUAGGUAAGGGUCUCCAAGUUUCCCUUGGUUUUUUUGUUAGAGAAAAUAUGAUGGUGAAUGAGUGAGUCCCACAAAGAACAGAAGAUCUCUGCAGUUGUGGCAGCUAGUUCUAGUUUGUGGGAAAUACACAGCAUUUGUGUGAGCUUUCGAGUACUGGUUUUGUUCCUAUGAUUUUUUUUUGGCUGAUCUAACAUUUUGACAUUGAAUUCGACCAUUUCACCUCCCAGGAAGCAAACGUCACCCACCCCAGGACCUUCUCUGGUGCUGUUUGUGUUCCCCAUUGCACUGAUAUCGCCCAGCUAUGAAAAAACCAGAAUCACUGUUUUAACAAGGCAAUGGCUGUUAGAGAAGAGCGGUCUCCCAAGGGAUCAUAGUUGGGAAGUCGCUCUAGUGGUAGAACGCAACAAGUUGCAGUGAUACCUACGUAACAGAUAUGUGUAGGCUUUGGACUUACUGGCAUUAAAAACAUUUUGAAAGUCAGGAAUAAAUCUGUGUGUGACUGUCUGUAGGUAUUUAUGCUUUUCUUGCAAAGAACAGAAAGAAAAGAAAGUGAUGCCUGCUUUUUUUGGUGAUUAAUAGUGUUUGUGUGCAUGAUGAUUGUUUUCUGAGGCUUUUGUGUAUGGUCUUUUAUUGUUAAUGGGCUGCUCCUGUGUAAAAUUCCUUUGGAGGAUACUCCAGAGGAGCCAGCUGCAAUUAAAACCCAGAUGACUGUGUCCCAGUCCUUCUUUGACAUCUCCUUCUUUGACUUGUGUUAUCUUUAAAUUACAUCCUUAGAGCUGUCACUCUGUCAGAGAUAGGAUCACCCUUGCCUAGAUAUUUGCUCAUGAGAGGUUUAGUAUAGCCCUAACCUAGUUAGGAAUCUGAGGGGUUUUGUCUCACUUCCUUGGGGUGUAUUAAAAUGGAUUAUCCUGAUAUAUUAUCUUGGCAAUAAAAAAAGCCUGUAAAUGCAAAGUUUUGUAUCUCUGAAGUCUUUGGGUUUAACAAAAUAGAUGAACGUAUCAUUGUCUUUCUGCUUCCGCAGUCCAUCAGCAUCUUUAUCCCCAAAUCUUUGCUCAGUCUUCAGUUGGACAAAGUAGACAAGGAAUUUGAAGUGAGUGAGAACACAUCAGGACUCCUGAGUUUAGCUGAGACUGCAUAUAAAAAUAAUAUUGUCUUAGAAAAUGAAAACCCUGUGUCCUGCAUCUGCUGAGCAAGGGGUUUCAUGCCCAUGUUGUUUUCCUGUGUGCUGGCAGAUUCACAGAAUGGGAUGCAUUCUGACUGCUGCUAAAUAAGCAGCUGGAGGGCUGUUGUCUCUGUGCAGGGCCACGGGCCUGUUCCCUUUCUGUUUUCAGGCACCCUGCCCAUUCCCCCUCCUUUGUAAAGGCCUUAUGGGAGGGUGAGCACACAUACAUCAUAGCGUUGGUGCUAGCUGAGGCUGAGCUCAACAAAUUGCUUCUAUCCCAUUCGCCCAGAGGUGGUCACUUAAUAAUGAAUACCUGCUAUUUAUACCUUUUGGUAGAGUGCUCUGAAUCACUAUCAGGCUGACUGGGACUUUGUGUGGCCAGCGGUCAUUCACCCAUCAGCUCUGGCAUUCAGCCAUUUUAGUGUGAUAAAAUGUAAGCUAUGCACAAAACUGACAAUCCAGACCAGCUCAGGUCAGAUUUGUUUGCUGCCGUAACCUCCCCAACAUCAGUAGAGUACCAGCAUUGUUUACUCUGCAUUCAAGAGCACGAGACAACCAUGGAAUGAAGGCUGAAUACUGGAACAUUUAGCAUUCCCGUGCCUUCUGCAAAGAAACUCACUAGCCAAGAGCUAUUUGGUAGCUUGGGUUCUGAGCAGGCUCUGUUCUGCAUCUCCCUUUAUCUGCUGGAGCUGAACAGUUCAAAAAGGAGGAGGAGUAAAAAAUUACCCUGUUUAGUCUAAGCAAAACAAUAAAUCUGCUCUUUUGAAAUAUGAUUCUGCUUUAUCUAGUUUUACUUUGAGUGGAAGGGGAGGCACAGUGUUUUCCUAUUGCCUUCCUGUUUCUGGCAGUGCAGGACCUGCUUGAAAGCCACUGAAAGUUCCUCUAACCAAUAAUUGUUUUGAAUUUGGCUAAUAAGAAACUCUGCUCUCAGCAAUAUGGAAAGUAAUUAAAAAUAAAUAAAGGUCACAUGUUUAAAGAGCCCUUUCCACAUCAUUUAGUGUUUCUAGUUGAUAGAGUGUGUUGUGUUUCUUACUCCUACGUGCAGAAGAUGCUUGCAUCACCUGUGGGAUGCUAAGUGCCUUGGCUCCUUCCAGGGCUUUUUAUUCAGGUCUCUUUCCAAGCCUGGCAGGACAGGUGAACCCCCUGUGGAAGCAGAAUAGCAAGUGUUGUCUUUGUUGUGUGAGUAAUGCUUAACCCUCUGCCUUCAGCCCUGAAAGCCUUUGCUGUUCUUCACUUUCUUGGGGUGAUGGUUUCCUUCUUGUUAGCAGGUGCUUAAGGGAGCAGCUGGAGUCACCUCUCUGUGGCUGUUGUUUCCACUUCUGUUUUCUUUUUUAAACUUCAAACACAGGAUAAGUGUGUGAUAAGGGAGAUCAGGCAUCUGCAUUUGGGUGUUUGGUAGGAGGAGAGUGUCCUCAAGGUCCCUUUAUAAACAUAGGCGCUACAGCCUCUGGAAGACCAUUCAGGGCAUUAAAUCUGUCUCUGCUAAAUCAUCCUCUGGAGCAGCGUCUCUUUUUCCACUGCCUAUAUAGGGAACCCACAGAGACCAGCCUGAAUUACCGCAGCUGAAAUUAGAUGCUGCAGAAGGUGGCAUGAAUACCCCUGCAAUUUCACCUACUACUCACCCACUUGAAGGCUUCCCAGUUUUCCCAUUAAUGGAGCCACUCAGCUCGCCGAAGCAAAAAGAGCCGACUUUGCGGAAGCCUGUGUAUUAAGCAUCAGUCUUUAUUGCACCAAAUAGCUUUUUUAAAUCCUCACCCUUGGAAGCUGUUGACACAUGUUUGAGUCACUCUACCACCUUCUCCCAAUAAACGCAUGUGUAAUUGUAUUUGUGUAUACUAGUUACGUGUUGCUGAGGAAGUUCUGGCAUGCUGAUAUAUGCCUGCAUGCCAGCCACAGCCUGGCUUCAUGGCCGUAUAUGGAAGUUCACCUGUGAAGGUAUCCAGCAUUCCCCUUUGGAUCUGUUUGAGGUCUAAAACAAGCAGCUUAGAAGAGGCCAAGUGGAGCUGCUAUGUGCCUGAGACAGGGGCAGUCCUUGGCAAUGAAAAUUGUGGCCUCCGGUUUGAAACCUGGCUCCCUGAAUGCUACAAAGGAUGUUUCUUCCUGCCAUGCCUUCUCUAGAACAAGAUGUUCUCUGUGCAGUGGUGUGUUCUGAGAGGUCAGAUCUGGCAAGUCCCUUCCAGCACUGGAGGUAGAAAAAGAUGGCUUCAGCAUAAAGUAAGCCACAAAAAUUGUCUGGAGCUGGCCAGAGGCAGGUGGGAACAGGCUGAGGAGGUAGAGGUCC